CAGUGUGAACCCUCCAAUGGAGUACAACUAAUUUCUACGUCAUAGAGUUAGCCGAUUCUAAAAAUAAUGUACCAUCAUAAUCGCUGAAUGACAUUUAGCGAUUUGAAACAUACAAGCUAUGAAGAUCAUGUUAAAUCAGGGGGUUGGGUGGUCUAGUGGUUUAACGCGUGCACAGGAAACCAUAAGGUCAGUCAUUGAGUCAUGUGACAUGGCUUCGAUUCCACAGUUGUACGUUACAAGGAAUAGGGUCGCCUGUCCAAGACCCCUAUGCGCAAGCAAAUUUUUUAAAUAAAAUUGAACCAUGUUAGUCCCAAAAUGACCUAGUUUGUGUCAAGUGGAUGUUAAACCCCAUUUCUCUAUCUCUCUUUAUAUAGAGUAGAAGCACUGGUUUGUUAUUUAAAAAUACUAAACUUCUAAGAGAUAUUUUAUUCAUUAUGAACAGGGGAACAGGCAAAGAGCCUACCACAAACCCCUAUCCCUAUUAUAAAUAUUCUGUAUAACACGACUUUAUCAGAAUACAUGUUGAGACAUUACAGUACUAUAGCAUAAUAAACCAGUGGUUGUGGAUCUUAAAAUGGCCCGAGAAUCAUUCACCUACGGGUUGGCCCAUUAGUAAUUAAUUGAUUUUCGGCAGUAUUUAUGUCCAGUGAAGUGGCCCGGUUUUUAACUGAAGGACCCAUAUAAAUGGUCUUUGUUUUUUUAAUGUACGUUUAGCUUUCUCGUGUUCUCAAUACAUUUAUGUAGCAACAAAACAAAGUCGACUUUAAUUUCCGUGUCAAAAGAGUCAAAUCAACAGAUCUCUGUUUUUGUUCCUGCUUAAAUGCACGCUAUUGAGAACAACAAAACUAAAGAUACAUUUAUGUUGGAACAAAAACAAAAAUGGACUUUGGUUUCUGAGUCAAGAGAGUCAAGAAAAAAAAUAUUUAUUUUAAUUUUAUUCCUGAAUUUAUUUUGGAAUCUGUACUCUGGUUUAUAUAAUUUAAAAGUUUAUUGGUUUCCAAGUCAAGAGUCAAGACAAAUAUUUGUUUUAGUUUUAUUAAUUGUUAUUAUUUAAAAAGAAAGUAUAAUAUAUUGUUAUUUAUAUGCUACCUAUUUCUAGUCCUAUAAAAUAUACCUGGUUUUGUUUUUUUCCCAAAUAGUUUAGUUAUAAUAUUGUAUCAUACAAUCUGAUUAAAACACAGAUCUAUAUUUCGUUUCGUUUUUUUUAUACUUUCGAUGACCUACACUACAUGAAGAUCUGACCGGUUGUAGUGGAAGGUCGCGUCAGUGGUCAUACAACCGGCUUUUGACCCUAUGACGUCAGACAUUGAUUAAUCAGUCAGUGUUGACAUUUCUAGUGGUUUACCCACAGUACCAUGCAUCACAUGCCACGAACUCACCAUAACAGAUUGUUUUAUUGGCUAAUCCCUCAUUUCAACCAGAACGUGAGUUAUAUAACAACUCUUCCAGCUCCUAGUGUAGUGAAAACAAGUAAAACGAAUUUUGAGCUAUAAAAAAAAAAACGAAAUAGGAUCUGUGUUAAAAUCAGAUUGUGUAUCAUACAGCCACACACCUCAAAUAGAAAAAUAUAUAUGAAGAGUUCAGGGGAAGAACGAUCUAAGUCAUAUUUUUGUCUUUUCGCAUAAAAGGCAAAACAGACUUUUGGACGAGAAUGUUUGACGCAAACAGAACAACGAGUGGGUUUAAUUACAACUUUAAAAUGAUGUUCAAUACGAAUCAUAAUUACCAGUACAACAACUGACUUCCACUUUUUAGCCAAAUUAAAUUCAAAUAAAAACGAUGGACUUGUAUUUGUCCAGGAGGCCAUUUCAGAAGAGCCUUGGUUCGAUUAUUCCUCAGAAAGCUUAUACAAUUUGCUACCAGAUGGUGCCAUUAACUGGGGUUCGUUGAAAAAGUGACUUAGAUCGUUCUUCCCCGGGGCUCUUCAUAUGUUUAUAAAUUUUGAAAUAUAAUUCUGAAUAAGAUAAAGGAAUUACCUGAAUCUGGAUGUUAACAGGAAAAUUACAGACCUGUAGUAAGAAUUAAAGAUCCAGCUCCGAGUCCACAAAGCAUUCUCAGACUUAAGAAUUUACUCAAAAUUGUUCGCUUUAUUUUAACUAAUAUAUAGCCCUUUAUAAAACUUCUGUUGUUUUAAUGUAUCAAAUACAUCAAUAAGAAAUUAUGUGCAGAGUUUUGUGUUUCUGGAUCAAAGAUAUUUCUCUUAAACAGUGACUGAAAGUUGAGUAAAUUUCUUAACUUAAGCCUGAGAAUGCUUUGUGAAUUCAGGGCCUGAUUUAUAUCAGAAAAAUUUGCAUUUAUUUUUACAGAAAUUAUUGUUCAUGUUUAUAUAAGGCUAUCCUUGUCAGAAUUUCAUUGGUUCCCUGUCACUCUGUAUUACCUCUGUCCUAAACUGGUAGUCUACCGUACUAAGGAUUGUUUACAAUAAAUAGAAUUAUUAGACAAGGCAAUCGCCAACAAUGGGAAUUAUUCAAGAAUAUUUACAUAAGCUGAAACUAUUAGAAUAUCUAAAUUAUGUGCAUGUUCAACAAUAACGACAAAUUAUUUGCGCUUACAUAGGGUUAUUGCUGCUUUAAAUUCAUUUGAGGUGAUAAAAUGAUAAACAGAUGAACAACUAAAUGUUAUGAACAAUUUGUGACUCAGAAUUAAUGAAUGGCUAGAUCUAUUUGUUAAGGCCAACUCAAGAUUCCGUCAAGGUCGUCAAGAUGUAAAUAAGUUAGGGCAUGUGAUUGUUGGCGAGAUUGUAGGUUAUGGUUAGGGUAAGCAUUAGGACUAGGUCCAGGGUUAGGGUUAGAGUUGGGAUUAGCGCUAUUCCUGUUUACAUCUUGUGACCUUUGACCAAACUUGAAGUUGGCCUUAUCAAAUAGAUCUAACCAUUAAUGAAUGGAAUGUGAGAGCCAAUGGAUUUCUGAAAAUGGCUGCUUGUGCUUUCAUGUGCUACCCUUAUACACAGAUACAACUUUUAUAUUAAUUUAUUUAGAUUAUUGUUAUUAAUAAUAACUGACUAACGUUGAUUAUAAACUGAAAUUGUUGCAUAUAUGUAUCAUUGCCCAUUUCUGGUUUCAUUUCUUAAAAAAAAAAAAAAAAAAAAAAGCUUCUGAAUCUCCGCAAAAAUUUAUAAAGAUGGAUGAUACUGUGGGAAAAUGAGAUUUGUAAGGGAUCCUAAAAAACUAUGAUUGAUUAGAUAUUCAACUAAUACCAUUGGUGUGCCAGGGGUUUUGUUUUUGCACCCUAGAGCAAGGACCUAAAUUCCCAAGCAUCAUUGCUUUAGACAAUGUCAGCACCCCUACAACAUGGGUUCAAGCUCGGCCAUACAUGCCGGUCAUGGCCGCUUGAGUUAAAAAUUGACCGAAAAAUCUUGGGAUCCUUCGGUCAAUUUACACUCUGUAAAACUAUCAAAAUUUUCAAAACCCUAUUUUUAAACAUGGCUACGAUCAAUCUCAUCCAUUGUAGCUGGGAACUUCUACAGCCUACAACUUCCAACCCUGAUGUUGCAUAAUUUCAGAUAGUGAUCAUCAAAUAUAAAAUAAAUUUACUAUAAGCAAACAAAUCAGAUCUGGCCAGCUUCUGUCCCAGAGGGAGCAAUCCACAAAAAUAUUUGGGAGACGCCACCCCCUGCCCUGCUCCUUCCCAUGACACUGUCAACUCGAGCCCAAUUUUGGACAUUUGUAUCAAUUUAUACAAGCUGAAACUAGAAAUGGGGAGUUUUAUUAAAAACCUUGUUAUUUUGAGGAACCAUUCUAGGUAUCCCCUGUGGUCUUAUUCCGUUCUACUCCACUAACCUCUGGGUUAAUUCAUUUGGGGAGACAUUAUUCAAGUAAUCUGCCCUUGAUGAUUGUGCUAUUUUUAUUGACCAACCAAAUAAAUCGUUAAUUACAAUGAAGUUGGCGAUGGGAAGUAACUCUCAUCUUGUUGCAACAAGCCGCCAUAUUGUUGUGAACGUAACAUUGGUUUUGUAAACUGUUUUUUGAUUGGUUCGCAGACUCAAGCCACGAUCAAGGCCAGAGCAGAUAAUUUGAAACCAUGGAAACCCUAUGGAUUAACACAGGGUAUAGUGGAGUAGAACGGAAUGAGACCACUGUGGAAACCCUGUUAUUUUGAGGAACAUGACAUAAUAAAUAUUAUUUAAAUAUAGUUUUAUUUUUAUGUAGAUAGAUAAUUAGCAGAAUAGUUCAUUUAUGCCCAACACACACAAACAAACAAAUAUCUCGGAGGGUAUGAUAUUCUUUCACUAACUGUGGAUAAUUAGGUAGAACUUUGGUCAGGUCAUUCUCGAUUCAUAUCCUAGGAAUUUGUGUCAGGUCAUUCUCGAUUCAUAUCCCAGGAAUAUGUCAAGUCAUUCUCAAUUCAUAUCCCAGGAAUCUGUUAAGUUAUUCUCGAUUCAUAUCCCAGGAAUUUAUUGGGUUAUUCUCAAUUCAGAUCCCAGGAAUCUCUGUCAGGUUAUUCUCGAUUCAUAUCCCAGGAAUAUGUCAAGUCAUUCUGAAUUCAUAUCCCAGGAAUCUGUUAGGUUAUUCUCGAUUCAUAUCCCAGGAAUUUAUUAGGUUAUUCUCAAUUCAUAUCCCAGAAAUCUGUCAUGUCAUUCUCGAUUCAUAUCCCAGGAAUCUGUGUCAGGUUGUUCUCGAUUCAUAUCCCAGGAAUCUCUGUCAGGUCGUUCAUAAUUCAGAUCCCAGAAAUCUGUUGGGUUAUUCUCGAUUCAUAUCCCAGGAAUUUAUUGGGUUAUUCUCGAUUUAUAUCCCAGGAAUAUGUCAGGUCAUUCUCGAUUCAUAUCCCAGGUCAUUCUCGAUUCAUAUCCCAGGAAAUCUCUGUCAGGUCGUUCUUGAUCCAUAUCUCAUUCUUGAUUCUUUUCCUAAAAAUUUGUCAGGUCAUUCUCGAUUCAUAUCUCAGGAAUCUGUCAGGUCAUUUUUGAUUCCUAUACCAGGAAUCUGUUGGGUCAUUCUUGAUUCAUAUCUCUGGAAUUACUGUUCGGUCAUUCCUGAUUGAUAUCUUGGGUUUUUCUCAGGAUGGUCAAUUUGUAGAAGAUGCCCAAGAUGGUAUGCAAGUGGCCAGAUAUAUAAUUAUACUCAGAAAAAUACCAAGAAUUCUUUAGUUAAAGUUUAGCAAUAUACAACCUCUCUGCGAUAUCACCCAUGGUGGAAGUGGAUGUUAACCUCAUAACUAACUUUUAAAGCAUGCCAUAAUUAUAGUACCGUCAUUUGUAGCUUAUAUUAAGCCUAAAGGCGGUGUCCACAUGCCUAAUAACUACGUCUUGAGCUCGAUUUACACUUUGUUCUUGGGGAGUCACAGUGGCUCAGUGAAUAAGAUGUUAGCUCGCUAAACUGAAUGUCCUGUGUUCAAUCCCGAGAAAGUUCUUUGGGAUUUUCUGGAGUAGGCCUAGUUCCUCCUUGCCAGUGGUGAAGGAUGGAGGGCCUGUUAAGGGACAAAAAUAGAUUUGGUCUGUUAAACAGGCAUUAUGCAAGAGCCAAAUCGGCCUAUUAUAGGUCUUUGUUUAGGCCUUAAAUGUUAUAUAAAAUAUCAGUUAGACAUUUAUCAACAUGACAAGAUCAGCCAUUUUAUGAUUUAAUUUAAAAAUGGUGAAGCGAGGCUAAGCCUCGAACAACCAGUACAGUGGUUACAAUCGGUGCACGCACACAUCUUGUCAAACCUUCAAAGGCUAAUAUCUUCGCUCAGAAUAAAGUAAUUCAAAUUAAAUUUUCCAUAUAUUCAUUUUGCAAAAUCUAUUUUAGAACUAUUAUAGCCAGCAUGACCAGCUCUUUAUCUAAAUCAUACAUAAGGUUUUUUUUAACCGUAAGAAAAAAAAAAUAAACAUGCGCUUUAUUGAAAUAAAAUUGUAGGAUACAUUAAAGUAACCAAGUCUGUAACUCAAUAUCAUGCAAAACCAUCGACAUUGAAAACACGAAUUAUGUGUCAAUUUAAAUCAACAUUGAUGUUGUGAUCUUACCUGGAAAAGAUGGGCUUCUGAUAUCCAAUAUUUAAACAAAUAAACAUUUUACCAUUGGUACACAAAUCGUGUACCAUAAUGCGUUUCAACGCUAUUUGUAACAAGGGACUCGAAAAACAAGGCUAGGCAUAUUCCACAAGUCAUGUCAAAUGGUGACGUCAUAUUCUUAUCUGGAGGGCACGCACAAUAAAUAUUAUCAGUGUAGACUGGAAUAAACAGACGCUACAGAUUACCAUUCGAUUGAGACUUCUGGCGUAUAUUGCCGAACAUAACUGAUUAGAAAUUACAGUAAAAAACAGAAACGAUUGAAUGUAAAUUCAGUUUAUAUACAUUUAUAUUACAUUAUCAUAUGCGUUGCGAUCCAUUUAUGUCUACUUCUAGGUCCCAAAUAUUAGCGAUUUAGCCCCUUUAAGCUCUGAAAUGACAGCUUUGAAUAGAAAUAACCUGACAUGAUACUAGUCAAAUAAUAUUGUUAUCGUGUGUGUGUGUUGGGCAAUAUAUUGUAUUAAGUGUAUCAUAAUGUGUAAAUGUACAUGGGAAAAUAUUGUUACAUUCUCACCUGUUGAUUAUAUACCUUGAGAUAAUAUAUUUCAAUAAGAUAUAUGUUAUAUUGUAUAGUUACUAGGGAAACAAAAUAUAUUUCCUUAAAAUAUGGGUAUAUUUCAUAAGAGAUCAAUAAUAAAAAAUACUAUAUUUCAUAAUAUAUUCAUCAGGGCUGAUUUAUCCAAAAUGCACUGUAUCAUAAAGUCUGUCAUUUAGACAACUGGCGUGGUUUCGAUUCCCCUGGUUGUAUGUGACAAGAAGUAGGGUCGCCUGUCUAACCUUGUGGGUUUUUCUCCGGACCCACCGGUUUCCUCCCUCUGCUAAAGACCCCUACGCGCAAGCGAAUUAUGGAAAAAAAAUUGAACCAUAUGUUAGUCCCGAAAUGACCUAGUUUGUGUCGAAUGGACGUUAAACCCUCUCAAAAUAUUGAAAGAAAAUUUUAAUAAUAGGAUGUAUUAAAAUAUGGCUGUAUUCACCUUGAGUAACAUGUGGGUAUCAGUGUGUUUCGUUGGGAACUCUUGUUUGUUUUGCACUUAGGUUGAAAUGAAUAAUCUAAGUGAAGGAGGACCCAACUACACACAAAACAAAAAUCUACAAGAUAAACCUGUGGACUUAACAGAAUAUAGACAUUGCAAAAAUAAACAAAUAUCAAACCAAGUGAAUGGAUACCCGGGGACCAGUCGUAAGUGUCUACUGCGCUGUAUAGUUCCAAUCCUGUAAUGGUAAAGGUUUCAAUCAUAAUGAAAACAAUGAUGGUGGCCAAAGCACCUAUUUAGAUUGUCAAUUUUCCAUGUGUAACACAAAAGUCAAAGUUAUUUUUCUGGCUUAACGGAAGGCAUCUUUCGUCAUUUGAAAGUCGUGGGUCAUCAGCAAGCCAUUUUGACAAAAAAAGCUGCAGAUCAUAAGGUUUUUUGGCAUGCUGGCUUAAAAGCGACUUUCGAGUUACAUCAGGAAACACAACGAUCUGAAUGGACGAUUUCAGCCACCAUAGAUUACUAAGGUUGAUAGAGUAAUCUUCAGAAAUAGUUUUAUAUUGUUUACCUUGACUGUUAUCUUUAUUUCUGAGUUACAAUCACUGUCGAAAUUUGAUUGUUGUAUGAUGAAAUAGAUAAACUGACAUAGAUUCUUGUGUCAAUUUAAAGUUUAAAUGGUUAUAUUGAAUUUCAAAUAAUUCUCAAAUUUAUUUAAGCUAAAUAGAUUCUGUAAAAUUAUGCUUUGAAACUAGGAAUCUUAAAUAAAUCAGCCCCAAGCCUCAUCUUAGAGAAUAGUCAAAACUACAAAUUUUGAAUAAAUCAGCCCCAUGCCUCAUAAUAUCAUCUUAGAAAGUAGUCAAAACUCACAUAUUGUGAAGGGUUCCUGUAAAUAUCUAAAUAAAUGUUAAAGAUUUGUUUUUCGUUUUUUGGGGAAUUUUUUUUCUGUUAAUUUUGAUGGUGCUGGUCACUAAAACUUCUUGUUUUCUUCUGUUUGUUUUCUUCUUCAAAUGACAUUUAGUUGAGAGAAUUCAUUGUGUAUGAAUUUUGAUCAUGUAGAAAAUUAUUUUGUUCCGUUGCUUUGUUAUUUUCCAACUAAGCGCGGUUGGUAUAUAGAUAAUUUAGAUAUUUAUUUCGUGCAUGAAGAUUUUUUAUAGAGAAUAUCAUCAUUAUCAUCAAUACAUUCUAGUUAUCAUUCAAUAUUCUCAUUUUUCAGAAGCUUAACAUAUUAUCUCGAUUAGAAAGUAAAAUAUUUGUCUUUUGUGCUUAAACAAUCUGAUUAAAAUACAGAUCUAUAUUUCGUUUCGUUUUUUUUUUUUAUACUUUUGAUGGCCUACACUAUAUGAAGAUCUGACAAGUUGUACUCGAAGGUCAUAUCAGGGAUCGUACAAGCGGCUUUUGACCCUAUGAUGUCAGACAUUGAUUAAUCAAUCAGCAUUGACAUUGCAAGUGAUUUACCCACAGUUCCGUGCAUGCCAUGCCAAGAAGUAUCUGUAACAGACUGUUUCAUUGGCUUAUCCCUCACUUCAACCAGAACGCCCCCGGUAAUAUAACAACUCUUCCUGAUACUUGUGUAGUAAAGACAAGUAAAACGAAAUUUUGAACUAUAAAAAACGAAACGAAAUAGGAUCUGUGUUUUAAUCAGAUUGAUGUUUAAAUUAAUUUCUAUGUAAAAUAAAAUUAACUAAUUAAAAAACUUGAGGUUCUGUAAAAUAUUGCUUUUGUUUUUAUCCAAUAUAUCUACUAAAUUCAGAUUUGAAACCUUUUUAUGUUUAAUUAAAUUCAUUUCCUUGUAAAAUAAUAUUAACUUGUUAAAAAUCAUGAAGUUUUGUCAAAUAUUGAAAAAGGUUACUUUUUCUGGAGCAGGAACCGGGCCUCAAACCCUACUCAUUUUGUUGUUCUUAUUGUUGGGGGUGUGACGCCCUUCAAUAAAAGUCUACUACUCCGUCAAUUCAAGCAUGGUCGACUUGAAACUUAGCAAGCUUGUUCCUUGGACAAUUGUGCAUCAAUCGACAGACUUAGAUAUUUGAUAUGACGUUACAAUUCCAAGAAGGCGGCAAUGACAUCCGGCUAGGUUCCUGGUCCAUAUAAUAGCCUACUAUUGUACUUGUUUAUGUCUAAAUUCCUUUCCUUUUUGUAGAACGAAAUUUACUUUUUUAAAAAUCAUGAGGUUCUGUAUAAUAUUGAUUGAUAAAUACUUCUAUUUUUAAUAAUACUCACAGACCUCAAAGACAAUUCAAGCUUCAUAUAUUCAAUCAAACUGUCAGGAUUUGAAAUUAGAAGCAAAGUGUUUGAAAAUUUAGACCAUAUGUCCCUUGUAAAUUGAAUAGAUUAAAUGGGUGUGUCUGAGGUUAAGAAAGAAUAUGAAAACAUUAUUUUCUGAUAACUGUAAAGAAUGUGUACACUGUACAGGUUUACAUGAUGAUAGCUGUAUUAUAUACCAUAGAUUUUAUGAAUAACUGUGAGUUAUACAGAGAUUACUGUGUGUUAUACUUUAGUAACCAUGCAUUAUACAGAUAUAGCUGUGAGUUCGACAGAAACAACCAUGUGUUAUGCUGCAAUAAUAACCAGUUAUAUUUCACUUAUCAUUAUAAUUAAUAUACUGGUAUAAAGACUAGUUAAUUAUCACAAUAUCAGAGUAUCAUGUCAAGUAUGAUACCUUUAUGAGUUUCUCAGUGUCCUGUGGUUUCCUCUCACUGCUAAAGACCCGUAUGUGCAAGCGAAUUAUUGAAAUUAAGUUGAACCAUAUGUUAGUCCCAAAAUGACCUAGUUAGUGUCAAGUGGAUGUUAAACUCUGUGUAUGUCAGAUACUUUAAGAAUAUAAUAUAGUUGUUAUUUAUUUUAUAUUAAUAUAUUUUGUUUGUUUGCUUGAAGGUAUCAUAUAAUCUUUUACGAUUUACAAUGUAGUCAUCACGUACAAGUGAAAUUCAAGAAAAAUAAAUUAAAUUUAAAUUGUUGUACUAUAGAGUUGGAACAUUUUAAGUUUUCAAGGUAGUCAUAGAAAUUAUUUAUCAGAUUUUCUAUCCUGUUUAGUAAGGCUAAAUCUAUUUGUUAAGGCCAGGUCAAUUUUCAUCAAGGUCGCUGAGAUGUAAAUAAGGUUAGGGCACGUGUUUGUUGCGAGAUUGUAGGUUAGGGUUAGGGUAAGCAUUAGGACUAGGUCCAGGGUUAGGGUUGGGAUUAGUGCUAGUCCUGUUUACAUCUCAUGACCUUUGACCAAACUUGAAGUUGGCCUUAUCAAAUAGAUCUAACCAGUUAGUAGAAAAAUAUUUCAAGGGGUGACGAUUCCUUUCAAAUACUGUAUACGUCUUUGGAGGGUAGUGUAAUAUAUAUAUAUAAGUAUCAAGAAUUAAUAAUACUGGUUCUGUUAAUAAAUUCUUGUAUCAAACAGGCCCGAAGCUAGUAGGGGGGUGGGGGGCAGCCCAAUCGUUGUCACUUGGCUUUAUAGGGCGUCCAUACUGAUAUGGGUACAUUGGUCGUUGGCUUCGUAAUGCAUCCAAUGGAAAGGGCACGGUUCGACGCCCAGGGAAUGCAGCUGCCUGCAUGCCCUCCUGCUAGCUACGGGCAUGUCAAAUGUUUUUUGGGGUUAAUGAAUCAAGGGAUAGUGAUUUUAUAUUAUUUUUGUUCUUUUAAUUAUCAAUUCAUUCAUUAAUGUCGGACUUGGAUAAUUAGUACAUGACAUGUAUUCGGAAACAUAAUAUAUGAGCUUCUGAAAAUAAAGAAUUUUAUGGUUUA